UCAGCAUGGGAGGACAAAUUCUCCUACGCCCCGUCACGAUUCGGAUACCGGAAACAGUAUCAUUCUAUGCUUAAAACACUUCUCUCCAAAACGUCAAAUACAGAGUUAGGACCAUUUAAACUGCUUCCCGAAGGUACUGACAAUAGAUCAUACCCGAUAGUUCCAUUCCCGGCAUUUAUUAAAGCGGUUGGAACGAACAGGACGGAGUGGCAAGAUCCUCACUGGCAGCUGAUUUCAGACCUAUGUGCUCCUUGCCAAAUUGACUACGACUUCAUCAUGCACACGGAGACAAUAGCGGAAGACUACCAGUUGUUCUUCAGGAAGGCUGGAAUCGUUGGGAGAGAAGACCUGAUCCCGGAAGUACGACAGAGGAAAGGUGAUAAACUAUUUUGGGAUUUCUAUAAAGAAAUACCAAUGGAAGAUUUGUGGCAAAUCAAACAAAAGUUUAAAGCGGACUAUGAUAUGUUUGGAUAUAACUUUUAUGAUGAUAUUGCAAGACUUUUUGGCCGUUAAUUCAUAUUAAAACACGUUUUGUUUAAUAAUUGUGGAUUUAUAACCUAGUGUACUAUAAUAUCUACCAACCAUAAUAGAAGUUUUACAAAUUGUAAAAACAUUUCUAACAAACGUCCAAAACUGUUAUUUCUAGAUGCAAAUCCUGUGAGCACUAAAGGGCAAAACUGAAUUGGUAUUAUUUGAAUUUAGGCCAUGUUGAUUUGAUUAUAUGGAUGACAUCCGCGCGCGCAUGAAUUUU